CCUACGGGUGGCUGCAGUGGGGGAUAUUGCACAAUGGGGGGAACCCUGAUGCAGCGACGCCGCGUGGGUGAAGGAGCGUUUCGGCGCGUAAAGCCCUAUCGGCAGGGAAGAAGAUGACGGUACCUGACCAAGAAGCCCCGGCUAACUACGUGCCAGCAGCCGCGGUAAUACGUAGGGGGCAAGCGUUAUCCGGAAUUACUGGGUGUAAAGGGAGCGUAGACGGUUAAGUAAGUCUGGAGUGAAAGGCCGGGGCCCAACCCCGGGACUGCUCUGGAAACUGUGCAGCUGGAGUGCAGGAGAGGUAAGCGGAAUUCCUAGUGUAGCGGUGAAAUGCGUAGAUAUUAGGAGGAACACCAGUGGCGAAGGCGGCUUACUGGACUGUAACUGACGUUGAGGCUCGAAAGCGUGGGGAGCAAACAGGAUUAGAUACCCGAGUAGUC
rnacentral:rRNA from 1 species